GGUGAACGCUGGCGGCGUGCCUAAUACAUGCAAGUCGAGCGAACGGACGAGAAGCUUGCUUCUCUGAUGUUAGCGGCGGACGGGUGAGUAACACGUGGAUAACCUACCUAUAAGACUGGGAUAACUUCGGGAAACCGGAGCUAAUACCGGAUAAUAUUUUGAACCGCAUGGUUCAAAAGUGAAAGACGGUCUUGCUGUCACUUAUAGAUGGAUCCGCGCUGCAUUAGCUAGUUGGUAAGGUAACGGCUUACCAAGGCAACGAUGCAUAGCCGACCUGAGAGGGUGAUCGGCCACACUGGAACUGAGACACGGUCCAGACUCCUACGGGAGGCAGCAGUAGGGAAUCUUCCGCAAUGGGCGAGAGCCUGACGGAGCAACGCCGCGUGAGUGAUGAAGGUCUUCGGAUCGUAAAACUCUGUUAUUAGGGAAGAACAUAUGUGUAAGUAACUGUGCACAUCUUGACGGUACCUAAUCAGAAAGCCACGGCUAACUACGUG
rnacentral:rRNA from 1 species